UGAACCUUGGGAUUCUUGGCUGGCUGGCUGAUCUGGUGAUAAAGCAUCACUGCUGUCUUCAUCAAAUGAAUAGUCAUCCAAAGCUUGAGGCUCCAUAGGGCCAGGCCUCUGCGCAAUCUUCUCAUUCAGAUCAUCUGCCAAGCGUGCUCUCUUCAGUUUCAUCUGAGUGGCUUGCAACGAAGGCUCUGCAAAGACAAAAUGAUGAAAUCCAGGGAAGGGAGAAUUCAAGAGAAAUAAGGUGCUUUGAAGCGAAGUUCCUCCGGGUGCACCUUACUCAACGUGGUGCUGAACAGACUGCUCUUUUCUGGGUGAAUCUAUGCAGCUUGUUGCCUGAUUGCUUCUCAUUCUUAUGCUUUUAAAAUCAGGUAGUUAACAUACAUAACAUCCAAAAUCAUAGAAGGUGGAUCUCCAAAUUUAAGGCCCAGAACUGACAAAGAUUUAAAUAUGUUGAUACACUGCAAACUUUACUAGUAUUAUUUCUUAUAUUUAAAGAUCUAUGUACAAAAGAAGGGCUUUGUUAACACCACUGAGCAAAUGCAGUUGCUAAAACACAAGCAUUUUGCACUUCAAAUUAUCUGCCAGGAAUGUCCCCUUCACACCGCUGCCACUCCAAAGAACUGUCUUCCAACUGCUUCUGAAUAAAAACCAUGCAGAGGCCAGUCAGACUCCUGUUCUGACCUGCUGGAGCCUGUAUUCUUUUUUAUUUUCAAGUCAGUGCAUGAUAUUAAGUUUAACACUUCAGCACCAGGCUGAGAUUCCACGAUUUCCAUGUUUUCCCCAAUUACUUUCUGAAUAAGUAAAAAUAAAGUGUGCUAUUAAAUGACUUAGAGUACAGUUACUAGCAAAGUUGAGCAAGUGAUUUUUAGCCUUGGCUUUGUUACAAAUGUGUAAUUUGUAUCCUGUGUUCGCUUUGUUACAAAUGUGUAAUUUGUAUCCUAUGGAAAAGGUGUCUCAAAGUAGUACUCUAUAAUCCCAAGAACUGGAAUGCAAGGAGGCCAAAAAUAAAUAGUUGCCUGGCAGGAACAAUGCUAUCUGCAUGACUGGCAAGCUUUCACCACUGCUCCUUGUCUUGAAAAAAAAACCAGAACACGUUCUGUGUGCAGUAAUUCUAGCACUGGUUCCUCAUCUAAUACCGUUUUAUAUCCUGUUAUUUUCAAUUCAAGUUGAAGUGCUGUCUUUUUAGAGAAGGUGCUAUGAAAGUAUUCAAAUAGUUGACAUUUAACAAGGAUAGAAAUGCAACAGACUGAAUCACUGAGGUGUUCAUUAAUCAGCAUACAGUUAUUUCAACUGACAGCAAGAAGAAUAAUGUACUGAUUUUAAAAAAAAAAGUUCUUUAUGUAAUCAACCCACUACUUCCUCCAGUGGAAAUGAGCUAUUUGUGUUAAAACUGCAAGAAAAAAUGGGAUAAUGCCAUCUCCAACAUUCCAGCAUUCUGCCUUGGAAAUUUCCAAGAGCGGUAGGAACUCCGGUGCGGGCUGCUAGGUUGGCUGCCAUGGAAACAGACAGUGCUGGAAACACGGUUGUUUCCUUUAAAUUAAAAUCUAUUACACAGAAAGCCUCUAUUGAAAACAGCCUCCCUUGAAACAGCCUUUACACAGGCAGUCUCUGACAUACUGGGCUUGAUGCACAGAGCAGUAGAUGUUAACAGCACGUUCUAGUUGCAGGGAGGCACUGCUGCAGAAGACAGUUCUAUCUGCUGCACUGCAAAAUACAGUCCUCCAUCAGAAGUGAUUUAUGACUCAUUACAGCACCAGGAUUAAUGCAGGUGUGUGAACAGCAGGGUGGCAGUAAAGUAGGAGAGUGUUUUAGCAGAUGGCAGGUGGCCUUCACAAACAAUCUAUGGUGAUAGCAAAUACAGUAGCUUUACUCAUUUCUGUGUGUCCAAACUCAGGAAUGCGAUGACGCAGUGCUCUUUUCAUUUACAUGGCAUGCCUAAGAAAGAAGGAUGGUGAGGAAAAAGCUGUGAGAAUAUUAGCUGUCUGUGGUUUGUUGGAAGUGAUUCUAACUUGUUCAGCAGGCUAAAGAUAAAAUGCAUCAACAGUCGUACUGACCCCCAGCCUGAAGAUGAUGCGACCUGUUGAAUAAGUUUAAUUUUCAAAUAGAAACAAUUAAUCAAUCAUUAAAGAAAUCUGACACCACCUAGGCCAAAGUGUCAUUUAAAAAACAAAAAUCUAUUUUUACAAAAUAUCCCUUGCCUUUUCUUGCAGAUUUUUAUGUAUUUUUUUCUAUUAUUUUGUAUGUGAAUUUUCUGCUAAGAAUAUAUCCAACACAAUGUAGGAAAAGUAAAACUGUCUCUUAGGCAUACUCAUUUUAGCAGAUACUCAGUUGUACCAUCAUUCUGUCUUAUAAAUGGUGGCAGCAGAGAGUACUGAGGGCUGUUUCAAACCAUCUUUUCCAAAUUCUGGAGGGAAAUCCUACAGCACUGUGAUUUAAGCAGCAAUAUUGUACACAUAGUUGUUUCUGGAAGCAACAUUAUCAUACUGGAAGUAGGAAAAGAAAAGCCGGAUCAGAAGGAUAGUGAAGUGUGAUCAUUAAAAACAAAGAAAAUGAAGCACAACAGUGUCAGUUGAGAAGCUUAAAUGAGUAGGAAACAGAACAGUCUGUAUCUUUUCCUAUUGCUAUGGAACACGUUGCUUAGAAACAAGUCAGAACAUGCAGAGGCUCUAAAAUUACUGGAAGGUCUGCUGGGAUGAAUAUAUAUGUAUACGUUAAAAGCAAAAUGUGUAUUUUUACAAUUCCUUCAAAAUCUUUCAAAUUAAAAAAAACACAAACCACCAACACAGACUCCCAUCUUGGGUAUGAAAUCUGAAAAAACAAAAGCGUUUUGUAAAAUUGCACACGGUAAGUAUAUGACCAGUAAUUACAUAUUCUAAAUCUGCAAUAGCCCUCUCCUUAAUACUGUCUAUUAAUGUUUGUUUAAAACAGAUUUGUAUUUCCUCCAUUAUUACUAUCAGCUCAGAAACACACUGUCAAGAGGCUAAUGGGUUCAAACUCUCCAUCAGCCACAGACUUGCUUUGUGAUAAGUCUGGAGCGUAAUACAUUGACUGAUGACAGACAAUUUCCAGCCAAGCCCCCUUGGGAAGUUAAUAUCUCCAUUCUACACAGUCUUCCUAUGCGCAGCAGAGGCAGCAAACAAAAUGUGUACUCAGGCCAAUCAUCCGGGUCACAAGAUUACACGUUAACCUAAAAUGAGGAAGGUGGAUAUAUAUUUAAGAUGGCUGGUGCAACCUGGGCUGGAAGCAAUGGCAUUCUGUCAAUUCUGCUAUGUAGACAAUAACAUAACUGUAGGGGCUUGCUCAGUGGACAACAACAAAGUCACUGCCUUAGAAAGACUGGAAGUGCAUACAUGCACUGCUGGAUGCUUUGUUAAAGGAAAAGAAACCUCCAGCACUGCAACAGAACAGACAGCGGCUUCAGUGUGGUUUCAUAAUCUGAUCUUAGACUGCAGAAUGCCAAUGAAGAGGUAAUGGUCUCUUCCUCUCUCCAACCACAGCUGCUCCACUUGCAGCAACACCAGCAAAGAUGUAGCCUUCCAGGUCAGUACUCUGACCUGGGAAAUCCAAGAUUACUGAAAUAGCCUUCAGUGACACAAACUCACUGAUCCAGCUCAAUCCAGAACAGCAUAAUCACUAAUGCCAGCAUGAGAAAGAAGAUGGCAGCAAACAGCACAAGGCUGAACGAGAUGACACCUAUUUUUUGGCAGCAGUGGCCUUAGGCCUUACUUUCUUUGAAAGCUUUGGAAAAUCUUGGCGUGACUGGAGUUGCAUAGCAAAUUUUCUUACAGCUCCUGCAUAGCCAAUGUAUCCCCUAAUUGCAUAUAGGUAACAUAUAACAUAUGAUUACUACACUGUGACCUUGGUUUAUCAAGGUAUUCAAGCAUGUGGCUAUUACAAUAGCACUACCAUGCACUUAUUCUCUGUUUAAGUGCUAUACUGAACCAGAAAAAUCUGUAGUGUGUUGGUUUAAUUGUAAGACAUGCAAUUAUCCCACUGUCAUUAAAGAGAGCAUUUAUGGUAGGCAAAGUUAAGGACAGUAAUAACCUCACAGGAUCAGUGUACUGAAUUUGAAGUGCUUCCUUUGAGUAACUAUAACAAACAGUAUACUAUUUUUCAGCAUUUCCUUAUCAGUGUUUUAAGAAACAUACUGAUAAGCUGCCACUGAUGAGGGGCACUAUAUAUAAAUACUUAAAAUAUACUUACAUAAAUAUACACUAUCUAUAAAAACUUUUUUAAAAUAAACGCCAGCAGAAUCCUCAAGAAUUUAUGCCACGUCAGGAGAGCAGUAAAAGUCCAGAGUUUGACUGGUACUCAACAUGCAGGAAAUGUGCUAAAUAAACAGCUCUCGUGCAGUAUCGAUUUAACUGCAUGGACAAAGGGAAGUAACCACUCCUGCCUAAAUCUGGUAAUUCAUUAACCAGACAGCAUGAAGAUAUUUCCAGCAAGCACCUGAGCAGUGCCUGUGCUUCUCUCAUUCUGCCCUGUAUGCUGUUUCUAGGACUUGCCAGUUUGCAGUUCCUCACAAGUCAAUAAAAUAAAAAAGCACAAUGAACCCAGGAAAUUAAUUAUGCUUUAAGGGGAGAGAGGGAGGAAAAACAUUUUUCCUGGUCAGCUUUGUUUCCUUACAGUAACUGGCAGGCAACUGGUAACUCUGAAGCUCGGAUUAACACAUGAAAGAUAGCACCAUCCUCAUUUCUUCCACCAAUUUUAUAAUCCCUUCAAGAACUUCCCUGCACAGCUGUACAUUCUUGAACAAGCUCAGUAAUUUCUGUACUGGAAUAACCCGGGGUACAAAGCAAAACUGCCCAAAUUCACUGCUCGUUUACAAACGUAGCCAAAACAUAUUCCUAAAAUACGCCCUGUUGAUCACAUGGACUCUUUCUUACUAACUGUAUGCACAAGAUGCCCUUAUUUCAUCCAAGGCUUUUCACUUAAUUUUCUAGAUGUACUGUCUGUUCGCUUGCUAUGAGAUGACAGUGCUUUGGGAAUUUCUGAAGAAGCUGCUUAGCUACCUUUGCACAGUGAGCCCCAGGGACAAACUGUUUUUGUUCUUUGCUCAUACAAAGGCAAUUUUGAUAAAAUGUGUAAAACUAAGAAAUAUUUUCACAGAACUGAUAAUAAGUAACUAUAGGAUACCACAGUAUACAUUUUAUUGAAUAGUCAUUAGCCUAUGCGAAGAAAAUAAAAUCCUUGUAA